GCCGCGGUAAUACGUAGUGUGCAGGCGUUAAUUGGAAGUACUGGGCGUAAAGCGUGCGCAGGCGGUUUGCUAAGACAGGUGUGAAAUCCCCGGGCUUAACCUGGGAACUGCGCUUGUAACUAGCAGGCUAGAGUGUGGCAGAGGGGGGUGGAAUUCCAGGUGUAGCAGUGAAAUGCGUAGAUAUCUGGAGGAACACCGAUGGCGAAGGCAGCCCCCUGGGCUAACACUGACGCUCAUGCACGAAAGCGUGGGGAGCAAACAG
rnacentral:rRNA from 1 species